UUACGGCCACAUCAUGUUGAAACACCAGUUCCUGUUUGAACACCGAAGUUAAGCAACAUUGUGCCUGGCUAGUACCUAGAUGGGUGACCGCUUAGGAACACCAGCUGCUAU